GGCCUAAUUGUCUAACGCAAACGAUUGAAUUUGACAGUUGAAAUCGAUAUUUGGAAUAUGCCCUAUAACUGCAGACUCCAAUAUUGCAAAAAGCACCUGCAAUACAGUGGAAUAACAUAUUGGUGUGCUGAAGAAGAGAUGGCAAAGGCUUUUAGCUGAUAGGACAUUGUACUGAUGACCCUGUUAUCUGGUCAAAUCAUAAAUGUGUGUGUAUUAUCAAAAUAUUUAUAUUUGAUUUGGUCUUUGAUAUUUGAAAAUAAAAGAAUACUUACUUCGC